AACGCGAAGAACCUUACCUGGGUUUGACAUCCCAUGAAAAGUGUAGAGAUACAUAAUAGCCGCAAGGCACAUGGAGACAGGUGCUGCAUGGCUGUCGUCAGCUCGUGUCGUGAGAUGUUGGGUUAAGUCCCGCAACGAGCGCAACCCUUUCCCUUAUUUGCCAGCAUUAAGUUGGGCACUCUAGGGGUACUGCCGAUGAUAAAUCGGAGGAAGGUGGGGACGAGGUCAAGUCAUCAUGGCCCUUACAUCCAGGGCAACACACGUACUACAAUGGCCAAGACAAAGCGAAGCGAAAUCGAAAGGUGGAGCCAAUCGCAAAAACAUGGUCUCAGUUCGGAUUGUGGUCUGCAACUCGACCACAUGAAGUUGGAAUCUCUAGUAAUCGCAGAUCAGCAGGCUGCGGUGAAUACGUUCCCGGGCCUUGUACACACCGCACUACUA
rnacentral:rRNA from 1 species